GUUAAAGAAUGGUUUUGUUGUUGUUGUUGUUGUUGUUGUUGUUUCUUUUUCUGUGGGUUUUAGUUUUGCUUUUGUUUUUGUUUUUGUCAAAUGCAGCGGGAAGCCUUUGAAAGGUUUUCAGCCAGAAAGUACAUUUUCUGUUUGAGAAAGAUGACACUGGGGGACCAGUUGGAAGGUCGUUGCCAAGGUUCAGAAGUACAGCCAUGCGAUCAAUGGAAUCAAUGAAGGACCUCAUUCCUUGUCCACACACGUGCUGUGGCUGUCUACUUCCUGAAUGGUUUUCAGUGAUUUUCUCAAAACGGCCACAUUGAGUUCAUCCAAAUUUCCCUCACGGAUAGCUGGGAUCCCACAGCCCUGGCCUGGACAGGGCACCCUGCAGGCAGGGAUGAGCCUACCAGGGAAGGACUGGCCUCUGGUUCUGAGGAGUAGAGCAGAGGAGAGGCCAAAAUCUGGGUUUGGAGUAUAUGACCAGGAAGCAUGGAGAGUUCCUCAAUGUGUGUCCAAGGAGAGUCCUGACGAAAGAGGUAAAUGCACAUUGAGGGAUACGCAGCAAAGCCCAGGCAAGGCUUGGGGCCCAGGAGACUGGACAGAUGCCCUGAGCCACGGGUCAUGGCAGAACUGGGGCCUUUCCAGUUAAGCCAACAUAUGUUAACAAGACUUGCAGGUUGGCCACAAGCUUGUUUAGACAUCCUGGACCGUAAACACUUCCGAACGUAAUUGAGCAGAAAUUAGACAAGGUUCUAUGCUGACGUAAGAAGCCACUUCUGUCACAAGUUGAAGCUUCACCUCGCAGCCAUCUGUUUCACCAGAACGCUUCCCUCCCAUUUUUAGUGCUGAGAGACACGGUCCUGAUGAUCUGGCUGUGCACUCAGGCGUUCGACGGCGGGUGUCUCUGGUCCUUCCCCCAACGCCAAUACGAAGAACCCAGAAAUGAAAAAGGUUAUUAGUCAAUGUUUAUGUGGCAUUAUAAACAUGAUACGGUGUGGGGGAAUUUUGUUUCUUAACUGUAACAGUUUAUUUUGGUGAAAUUAUUACAACUUUUAAAUCUCUUUCAUUGUGUUCCAAAAUCUGAGCAAUUCUUUUAAUUAACGUAAUUGUUUUUGUUUUUCAAUUACACGUGUAUGUUUCAUAAGCAACAUAGUCAUUUUCUCUGCAUUAAGUAACAUGGUCAUUUUCUUUGUGCUUGGACAGGUCUGGGCCCCAAAUAGGCAAGAAUAAAUGUGCCGCUGAUUUUAGUCA
rnacentral:lncRNA from 1 species